GAUGAACGCUAGCGGAAGGCAUAAUACAUGCAAGUCGAACGGAUGUAGCAAUACAUUAGUGGCGCACGGGUGCGUAACGCGUAUGCAACCUACCUUCAUCAGGGGGAUAACUACCCGAAAGGGUGGCUAACACCGCAUAAUACUAUUGAGUGGCAUCACUUGAUAUUUAAAUCUGAGGAGGAUGAAGAUGGGCAUGCGUCUGAUUAGCUAGUUGGUGUGGUGACGGCGCACCAAGGCGACGAUCAGUAGGGGAACUGAGAGGUUGGUCCCCCACACUGGCACUGAGAUACGGGCCAGACUCCUACGGGAGGCAGCAGUAGGGAAUAUUGGUCAAUGGUGGGAACACUGAACCAGCCAUUCCGCGUGCAGGAAGAAGGGUCUCUGACUUGUAAACUGCUUUAGCAAGGGAAGAAAAAGCUCAUGCGUGAGAAAUUGACGAUACCUUAAGAAUAAGCACCAACUAACUACAUGCCAGCCGCCGCAGUAAGAC
rnacentral:rRNA from 1 species